rnacentral:tRNA from 1 species
GGAGAUAGAGCUGAAUUGGUAGAGUGUGCCUUGCAUGCACAAGGCCCUGGGUUCAAUCCCCAGCACCA